rnacentral:lncRNA from 1 species
GGUCGAGCGGCAGGAAGUGCGCUCUCCCACCGCGUCCUGAGCACAGUGACCCCCUCCCGUCCGACGCGCGGGGGAGAAUUGGGAUGGCGGGAGAGAGAGGGGUACCCUGGGGAGGAGGCGCCUCGCGGGCACGUUGCGCUGGAGCGAGCCCUCGCUCAGGGCCUAGCUCUUCCGUUGGAGAGGCCCCGGGCUGUCCUCAGUGGCUGGCUGUGCCCUGCAGGGAUGGGGCAGGAAGGAAGAGGCCUUGGGCAGCUGGCGUGUGCCCCAGUGAUCUGGCUGAAACAGGCCCAGAGACCCCUGCUGAUGCCCCGAGGACCGAGGUUCCCAGGGUGCCUCAAGUCCACAGUGAGCUGCCCACGCUGCACAGGAGCCAGACUGGUAGGCUGGUCCCCUUGCACCCUCCAGGAAGCCCUGCUUGGGGUGGCGGGAGGUUGUUCUGCACAGCUGGCCUCGCCACCUGCCUGGCACCGAGACUAGGAGGCCUG